AACGAACGCUGGCGGCAGGCCUAACACAUGCAAGUCGAGCGAGGACUUCGGUCAUAGCGGCUGACGGGUGAGUAACGCGUGGGAACGUGCCCUUUGCUUCGGAAUAGCCCUGGGAAACUGGGAGUAAUACCGGAUGAGCCCUUUGGGGGAAAGAUUUAUCGGCGAAGGAUCGGCCCGCGUUGGAUUAGGUAGUUGGUGGGGUAAUGGCCUACCAAGCCGACGAUCCAUAGCUGGUUUGAGAGGAUGAUCAGCCACACUGGGACUGAGACACGGCCCAGACUCCUACGGGAGGCAGCAGUGGGGAAUCUUAGACAAUGGGGGAAACCCUGAUCUAGCCAUGCCGCGUGAGCGAUGAAGGCCUUAGGGUUGUAAAGCUCUUUCAGCUGGGAAGAUAAUGACGGUACCAGCAGAAGAAGCCCCGGCUAACUCCGUG
rnacentral:rRNA from 1 species